GACAGAGGGUGCAACCGUUGCUCGGAAUCAUUGGGCGUAAAGCGCACGUAGGCGGCUCGUUAAGUCGGAUGUGAAAGCCCUCGGCUCAACCGAGGAAGUGCAUACGAAACUGGCGAGCUUGAAUAUGGAAGAGGGUCGCGGAAUUCCUGGUGUAGCGGUGAAAUGCGUAGAUAUCAGGAGGAACACCGGUGGUGUAGACGGCUUUCUGGACAAUCACUGACGCUGAGGUACGAAAGCGUGGGUAGCAAACAGG
rnacentral:rRNA from 1 species